UAUAUAUGGCAUAGUGUUAAUGCACUGAAUCCCAUUAGAACUCUAGAGUUAAGUGCACUCGAGCUAGAGUAGUAUUGGGAUGGACGACUUCUUGACAAUUCCUAGUGUUUUACAUGC
rnacentral:rRNA from 1 species